rnacentral:misc_RNA from 1 species
GUGGUAGUGGUAAAUGGAGGUGAUGAUCAACCAUCUUCAGUAAAGCCAUUGGUGAAGACUGUGAAGGGCAAGAAGUUGUGCGACAAGGGAUGGGAGUGCAAAGGCUUGUCUGCAUAUUGCUGCAACGAGACUAUUUCUGAUUACUUCCAGACCUACCAGUUUGAGAACUUGUUUUCAAAGCGUAAUACACCUGUGGCUCAUGCAGCAGGAUUUUGGGACUACCAUUCUUUUAUAACUGCUGCUGCGGUUUCCCAGCCUCAUGGGUUUGGUACCACUGGAGGAAAACUCAAGGCUCAGAAGGAAGUUGCUGCUUUCCUUGGGCAUGUGGGCAGCAAAACUUCGUGUGGCUAUGGAGUGGCCACAGGAGGACCACUGGCCUGGGGCUUAUGCUACAACAAGGAAAUGAGCCCCAGCAAAUUGUACUGUGAUGACUACUAUAAGUACACCUAUCCAUGCACUCCUGGAGCUUCAUACCACGGCAGGGGUGCCCUGCCUAUCUAUUGGAACUACAACUAUGGCAAGACUGGAGAAGCCCUGAAGGUUGAUUUGUUGAAUCGUCCAGAAUACAUUGAAAACAAUGCCACACUAGCAUUCCAGGCUGCAAUUUGGAAGUGGAUGACUCCAGAAAAGAAGAAUCAACCAUCAGCUCAUGAUGUAUUCGUGGGCAACUGGAAGCCUACCAAGAAUGACACUCUGUCCAAGAGGGUACCUGGUUUUGGCGCUACCAUUAAUGUUCUCUACGGAGAUCAGGCUUGUGGGAAAGGCGACGAUGAAUCGAUGAACAAUGUCAUCUCUCACUACCUAUACUACCUAGACCUGAUGGGUGUUGGCAGAGAGGAGGCAGGGCCUCAUGAAGUGCUUAGUUGCGCCGAACAGGUUCCUUUCAACCAAGCUGCUCCCUCUUCAUCAUCUUCUUGAGCCUUUGCUUAUUGGUGAAGGCAAUGGUAAAUACUAAAUAGCCUGUCCAUUAUUGAGCUGUUCCUCUGAAAGGAAAGAUUUUAAUAAGGGACGGGGCAGGUAUAGUUUUGAGCAUGUGUACAACUUCUGAGAAGAAGAAAGAAUCCGUUCAAUUCUUGUUUUUGGUUUGAAUCUGCUAUUUUCUGGACAACUAUGGUGUAUAUUGAAUCAUUUAUGCC